UACAGAGGGUGCGAGCGUUAAUCGGAAUUACUGGGCGUAAAGCGCGCGUAGGCGGCUUUGCAAGUCGGGUGUGAAAUCCCCAGGCUUAACCUGGGAACUGCAUUCGAGACUGCAUUGCUAGAGUAUGGGAGAGGGAAGUGGAAUUUCCGGUGUAGCGGUGAAAUGCGUAGAUAUCUGGAGGAACAUCAGUGGCGAAGGCGACACCCUGGACUCAUACUGACACUGAGGUGCGAAAGGCGUGGGGAGCAAACGGG
rnacentral:rRNA from 1 species